rnacentral:rRNA from 1 species
CCUACGGGUGGCAGCAGUGAGGAAUAUUGGUCAAUGGACGAGAGUCUGAACCAGCCAAGUAGCGUGAAGGAUGACUGCCCUAUGGGUUGUAAACUUCUUUUAUAAAGGAAUAAAACGAGGCACGUGUGCCUUUUUGCAUGUACUUUAUGAAUAAGGAUCGGCUAACUCCGUGCCAGCAGCCGCGGUAAUACGGAGGAUCCGAGCGUUAUCCGGAUUUAUUGGGUUUAAAGGGAGCGUAGAUGGGUUGUUAAGUCAGUUGCGAAAGUUUGCGGCUCAACCGUAAAAUUGCAAUUGAUACUGGCAGUCUUGAGUACAGUUGAGGUAGGCGGAAUUCGCGGUGUAGCGGUGAAAUGCUUAGAUAUCACGAAGAACCCCGAUUGCGAAGGCAGCUUACUAAACUGCCACUGACAUUGAUGCUCGAAAGUGUGGGUAUCAAACAGGAUUAGAUACCCGAGUAGUC